AGAGGUUCCUGCAGGAUCAACCAAUUACCAGCAUCCCAUCGGCAAGUCUGGUGGCACUACUUAGAGCUGUGCUAAGCUGGAAGCUGUUCUCACCUGCUACUGCAUGUCUGUUUUACAGAAAACCAUCAAUGCUUGGAGAAUUCCUUCUACAUCAAGAUGUAAAUCCUUCUGCCGCCUUUGGAUGCUUCACUUAAAUGACUCUAAUCUAGUUCUGUCAGUCAAGUAG
rnacentral:lncRNA from 1 species